AAUAUGGUCAAUUGAGAAUAGAACGGUUAAAAAAUAAGCUAUCCAUGUUUAAGUUUUCGGAAGGAACUGGAGAGUUUCAAAGAAACAGGCAGCCAAACACGCCUCGUGAGGGAGAAAUGCCGUGAGAGAAAGAGGAGCGAGAUCGACAGGUAGUUUCCAGAAACAGAGCCCCGGGUGUGGGUCGUCGUGUGUGUGGUUUUUCUAUGGACGGGGAUGUACGAGACCAUGUGACCAGCUGCGCCUCGCCACGGACCGGGGCCUGCCGCCAACCAGUCUAUGGGUGACCUCUGACCUCCCACCCCCCCGCACACACCCAAAGACCCCUGGACCUCGUAGCAGGUAGCUUAGUGGGCUCGACCCCAGAUAGAGGCCGAGGGUCGACAGACAGAUAGAGUCCUGCUCUCUGUCGUCAGAUAUAGCAACCCAACAGCUAGCAGGUAAGACUUUGGAUGUGUGUGAACAGUAUGUACGCUUGGUAGAAAUGUUUGU